AUGGCCUGUGUCCUCAGUGGGGCUGUCCCAAGCCCAUGGGGGUUGCUGCAGGAGAAGGCCUCGCUGCUGGAGGGGCUGGGUCCCUGGAGAGCCGGGGUCUGUGGAGGGGUGGGAAGACCCCUGUGAGUCUCCUGCUGCCUCACGUUCGGUGGAGCUGCUCACCCGCUCGUUUCCUGAAGACGUUUGGUCGGUUUCUUGCUGCAACCUCCCGGUUGCAGGGCCGUCCCCUGCCCUGGGGGAGCCAGAUGGAAGGAGAACAUCCCACAGACCCACAGACGAGGCAGGAGGGGGGCUGGGGUCCUUCGGCUUCUGCACAGGCUGCGGGGGUUUGCCGGGUCCUCCCGGCAGGCAGGGUGGGCACCCAGACCGCCUCAUUUGGACGUUAAGGAAACGUGGAUGACUCCAGAGCUGUGAAGGCCCCAAGGUCCAGGUCACACUGUGUUUCUCUCCUGCACGCACUUACCCAGGACUGGCUUCAGUACGACGCGGAGGCAGCGUGGCCGCGCACUUCAGAACGCUGGAAGGAUGGAGUUCAGGACGCACUGCAGGCCGUGCACAGCGAAGUGGCUCCCAGGUUGCCAUGUGCUGGUCAGAGCUGGUCAGCAUCACCUCCGGUGCGGGUGCCUGUGGGAGGCCAGUGAUGGCCUCUGAAGACCUCAGGUCCUGAUCCAUGGAGCCUGUGAAUGUGGCCUUAGGAGGAAAAAGGAGUCAGCAGAUGUGAAUACAUUAAGAAGCUCGACGUGGAAGAGUGUCCUGGAUCAUCCAGUGUGACUCGGCGUCCACUGUCCUGGGUGACUUGGCGUCCACUGUCUCCGGGGUGACUCGGCAUCCACUGUCUCCGGGGUGACUCGGCAUCCACUGUCCAGGGUGACUCAGCGCCCUUUCUCUCUUGGAUGACUGACCCUUGGCCUCCCCCAGCCAGUCUAGGUUAGCUGCUGCCACGGCACUGAAGACGGUCCGGUGGGAUAUGCCGCCUGAACUUCAGCACCGCACGUGGUUCCCGGAGCCCAGGUCAGUGGGAGGUUUGUCAUACAGGUCCCCGGCACCUUCCUACAGGUAAGAGCGUCUUUAAUGAGGGUCGCAGACCAGGCCGGAGUCAGUAGGUCCCUGGGAUACCUGCUGCUGGGCGCCGUCUGCCGGCUCCAGUGUUGUGCGACGCUGAGGCACCUUCUUGGCCCUGCGGCCCCCAUGCUCUGGGGCCCACGUGGAAGAUCUGAGCUCACAGAAACUUGAAGACGUCACCUUGCUACAAAGGCAUCACAGCCCUGACGUCACACAGCUUUGACAAUCUGCCAGGUGUCUAAUCACAGGGACAGAGCAUACCUCAAAGUGGUUUGAGCACAAAAAAAAAAAAAACAAAAAAACACAAAGAAUAAAACAAAGAAACAGGCGACGCGCUGAGAGGAGCUGAGAUGAGAGUGACGGUCACAGGCUCCAGGCGUGGCGCGGUCCGCGCGUUCCCGCGAUGUCUGGUGUCUGCCGUUCUCCCUCUCCUGGCUUUCUUCUUUCUUCUGGGCUGGCUUCGUGCUCUAGCAAGCUCUGGGGCGGUGGUGCAGUCGGCCCAGCAAGGGUUUGAGAUAGGGUUGGGGGGCGCCCUGCAGAUGGAGGCAGAUGCGGGGCAGCCCCCGUGGGCUGUGCCAGAACCCUGGGGAGAGCAGGGUGGCAGAGGGUCCCCGGGAAAAGCAGGGUGGCCAGAUGGUCCCUGGGGAGAGCGGGGUGGCUGGAGGGUGCCUGGGGACAGUGGGGUGGCCGGAGGGUCCCCGAAGAGAGCGAGGUGGCAGAUCGAGGGUGCCCGGCCCCAGAGCCUGAGACUUGGAGGAGUGGACUCGUCUUGGUGGCCCUGGGCCCUCGGCCUCUGCUCUCAGGGGAAGGAGAGCAAACGCCUCUCUUGUGAAGGUGACUGUUCUUCUGGGUCUCUGUCACCUGCAGCCACCCCCAGUGUUAGUGUGACGGCCGGGCCCAGUGCCGGGAGAUGGUCCCACGAGGCGUCCGGAGCGGCGUUUUGUCUGGCCUGUUGGGUGCCUGUGUUCCAGGGCGGUGUUUGGGGUCUGGUGAAUGAAUUGUACUUAUUUGCUGUCAUCUCGGCUGCGUUGUGUCCGCCGGGUGGUGCACGUGCUUGGAUGGUGGAGCUUGGGGCUCUUUUGCUGUCAUCUUAGCUGCAGCCACCUGCUCUCGCUGGACCCUCAUCCUGGGCAGUGCCUGGCCUUCUGUUGCCCCAAAUUUCCCUCCAUAACAUUGAAAUCGGUAGCUCUUUCCUUUUUCUUCCCUCAAAAAGGGAGCUUCUUAGGAUAAUGCGUUUCACUCUGAAAUAGCAAAAGGCAAGAAUAGGCAAAUAAAGAAAUAAUGAUCCCAGAGUUCUGAGCAAGCAUUAAGGAGGAUUUCUCAAAAGCAAAUCCCGGCGUGGCUGCAUCCCUGACCACGUCCGGCUGUGCUCGAGCGUGCCCGUCACACACAGCUUUGGAAGGCACCUGUCAUGCAUCUCCCAUCUGCCUUUCUCCUCCUCAGAGGGGAUGCAGGCGUGAAUUUGCAGCCGGAGAAACGGGGAGCACCGUGUUCCUAUACGAGGCCCUUCAUGAGCAGACAGGAGCGACGGCUGUGUUAGGGCCUGGACAGGGGAGGGUCAGGAGCGGGCUCAGCUGAACAGGGGGCCUUGGGACCCCGUAACCAAAAUUCUCUCCACACAGCUGUCCUCCUCUUUUUCAGUCUGUGGUUACACAGAAUUACUUUCACCUAAGCCAGGUGACGUGGCUCGUCCCGAAAGUGAAGGUAGCAGCCCUGGGCACGGGGAGGCGAGCCAGAGGCUGCAGGGCCGCCCCUGUUGGGUGGACAGGGCCUUGCCCUCACCCGUGCCCUCGGCCGGCUGUGGGUCUCCAGCCCAGCCCUCCUCUCCCUGGCGCCUCCUCCUGCUUUUGUGACAGCUCGCGGGGGCCUUGAGUAGGGACACGCCAGUGAGCCGGGGCUACAGCACCUCCUGAGUCCCCAGCUCCAGCUCAGCUCACGUGGCCCCUGGUGCUCCGUGCAGCUUACAGGGUGGUUAACCUGGCCCGGGUGCCGUAAGGAGGCCCUGAGGCCACAGUCACCACAGCGGCCACCAGAGGCCAUUUGUGCCUCCCCAGAGCCCUUUAGUGACGGGGAGCGUGGGGUCUUUGGUUUCAGAAGAUGAACGCAGGCCGUGUUACAGGCCCCAUCCGCGUAUCUGAGACAGGCGGCCCGUGAUUGUCAUUGACACAGUACACGUUUCAAGUGUGAUUUCAGAAGAGUGCAUGGAUGAGAGCUGAGGGGCAAGCCCACCUCCCGUCCUGGCCCCGUCACCUGCCAGAGUGACACUUUCCGUCAGCCACUGAGUUUCUCACCGGCCCACGGCUGUGCCCUCCUGCUGCCUGCUGCAGGCCUGAAACCCCAACUCCCGGCUAGACGGGGUAGGGGGAAAGACCAAAACUUGGUGCAGGCAGAGGAGUGCCAAGGCCUUUUGUGUUAGGUGGCCCUGCAUGCAGAGGGUGGGGCUGGGGUCGGUCUGGCCAGACUGAGCCGGGGGGGGGCGGGGGGGGGGGCGGGGGCAGGGAGCUUCCCACAAGAUUGGAGCUGGGUCUGGAAGCGGGGGGAGGAGCCUGGGAAGUGGGGAGGAGCCUGGCAAACCGUUUCUGCAGGUGCUGGUGCUCUUCCCGCCCUGGGAGGCCGCUCGAAGGUGCAGGGAGGCCGCUCAAAGGUUAUUGCUGGUGUCUGCAGCAGUUCUGAGGAGCAGGAACCCUCCCUGGGUCCCAGGACCCUCUCUCCUCUGCCUCAGCGUCCAGGUGCCCGGAGCCAGCUGCCUCGCUGGCGAUCCCCUUCCCUCGUCCUUGCCUUGAGGCCCAGGUCCCUGUGAGUACCAGAUGCUGUUAUCAGGGGCCUGAGCUGCAGUCUAUUAAGAUUUAAAGAGAUUUAAUGUAACGAGACAAGCACGAGAAGGAAUUUAAUUUAGAGAUAAAAAAGUAAUCAAAUCUCAACUUGUGGACAGAGGACAGUGCCUGGAUGCUGAUUGUUUUCAUACAGCAACAUGCAGCGCACGUGAUGAGGCAAUUAACUCAGCUGCUGGGCUUCAAAACCGCAGGGCAGAGCCCCCUGAGCCCUGAGCUGCGGCCGCCUGGUCACACGCAGCUCGAAAACCGUUUUCCCGCAGAAGUUCUGAGGCUGUGGGCUCAGCUGGGGGUGAGGGAGUGUCUCCUCACCGUCCUUUCCAGGAAGCCAGAUCUGCAGAAGCCUCGCUGGGAGCCGUCGUGGGCAUGAACGCCUCCCACCCGCCCGCAGUUCUAGAAAACGCCUCUGUGGCUUUUUUUCCAAUGCUCUGUUGUUUGCACCGACGCUUCCUUCCUGCCUUGGGCGUCUUCUUGGGAGCAGCUGUGGCCUGCCCUCCGGCGCCCUUCCCAGUGGGAGAUGGGAUGCUUGUCAUUGGAUGUAGGAUCCUUUUAAAUCUGGGACGGUCUCAUCUCUGGAUCCUUAACCCACUACAUCGGCAAUGACAUCGAUUUCCAAGUACGGUCCCAUCACAGGCCUGGGGUGGGCGUGGCCAGUGGUUCUGGCGUCCUCCCUUCAGCCCACUCUCCCCACUCAUCAUUCAGGGGGAUGCUCAGUGGCCCCGGCCACCCCUGCUGCCCACUCAAGCAAUGCCCGCUUCUUCACUACUCGUUCUUCUUUAUGGAGCUCAUUUAUUUCUGAGAUUAACGUGCCUCACCCACUGCCAGGUUACCUGGAGGGCAAGGACACAGUGUGUUUACUCUGAGCUGUGUGCUUGGUCCACGGUGCCGUCUCGGGAAGGCCUGCUGAGUGGGCGAGCAAGUCUCCCUGGGCUGAAGGUUUGCACAUGGGCGGUGGGUGGGCCAGAGCCCUCUCCCCAUCUCAGGAGGGCGUGCUGGUUCCAGACCCCACCUGUGACAGCCUCUCCACAGGGAUUUUCACCCCGGAUCAUGGUCACCCCCUUCCCUAGGACCUGGCCUGUGCUUUUCUCCUGCUCUGAGAAGGCCUGGUGAGCCCCUUGCCCCAUGAGGGGUGGGAGGUGCGAGCGUCUUGUGGUGGAAUUUCAGGAUCUCCUCCAUAGGCCCUAAGUCCUGGCGACUAAGCACAUCCUUCGAGAUCGUUCCGAGAAGAUGGUGUGGCUAGGGUGGGGGUGGCUGAGAAGGGAGGGCCGUGGGGAACCUCUUCCUCUUCCUUGCCCUCAGAAACACAGUCUCCCAUCCGGACCGAGUAGCUCCUGGUGGCUGGGCAGUGCCUGGCUCUGGCGUUCUAGCCCAGGACAGGGGCCCCUGUGCGGCAGGCCAGGCUCCCUGACCCGGACCCCAGUCUUCCCCAUGCCCUGCCCUGCAGUGCAGGGCUCCACACAGCCAGCUCUCUCUCCUCGCAGUGAGGCAUCGAGGCAGGAGGGAGGGUGACAGCCUAGACCCGAAGUGAGCCAGUUGCCCAAGGAGAGAAAAACUGCUCAGGUUUUGGGGUGACUGGGGCGGGGGUAGAGGGCACGAGGCCGGCUCAGGGCCCUGGGGAGCAGGGACUCCUACUGUGGAUUAAUUUGCUGCACACCUGCAAAUUAGCUGGGUGUGGCUUCUGUCUGCCUGUGUACUGGGUGCUGCCUCGUGUGAGCUGAGGACAAGGAAGGGAGGGCAGAGGUGGAGGAGGGACACACUGUCGUCGACAGGGCGGCUGCAGCUCUGAGGCCAGGGCUCCAGGAAUUCAGGCUUGCUCUGGGGUCUUUGAUCUCCGUGUUCUGGGGGCUGCAGAAGCCUCGCUCACGUCCUGGCACCCCCUUAGCUCCAGUCCCUGCUCUAGCCCCAGUUCAGGGAUUGCACUGUGGUGGCUGAAAUCUUGUUUGUCCACCAGGAGGACCCCCCUGGACCAGGGCCAAUGGUCCUGACCCCUCCUCAGCCUUUGUUCUCCUUGUGGUACAUUUGUGACCUCAGUGGCCGGCUCAAUGCCACCUGGGCCGUCCAGACACGAGGAUGUUCCCGGAGCCCUGGGAAUCACUUUGCCUGCACCUGAAGGGCAGCCAGGACAGAGGGGCCUCUCCUGAGGGCGGUGAGGCCGCUUUGCUGUAUCAGAUUCAUGGACUGUAAUGAAAUUCAUCAGAUGAGAAACAGACAAAGGAAAAUACAGUAUGAAAGGUGGAGCCGUGUUCCUCUCCUUUAAAAAGAUUUAAAAAACUGUGAACAGGGCGUCAAUAUUCCUUUGGUCACGACCCAGCGUUAAAAACAUGUAAAAUCCUGCAUGCUUGCUUCCAGCUCCUCUGUGCUUUUCCUCCAUUCAAGGUACUCGAUUGUUUCUGUAAAAAUCACACAUGCUCAUUACAAAGAAUUUAAUCAAUGCAGAAAUGUGCUAAGAAAAAAAUGCCUUCGCCCAGGAGAAGCUGGCACUGGCAUCCAGUGAUCGUGACUCCAGGUGAAUAACAGAGAAGCAGAAACGCUCUGAACACGCUGCAGGUGCUAUUUUCAGUCAGAGUUAAAUUUCAUUCACUUGAGCUUAAGAUGAGAAAAGGAAACUCAUGGAGUUUUUUUGACUGGCAAAUGCGUAGUUCUCUGUCAACUUAUUUUUGAGAGUGUUCUCUAAGGCUGUUGUAAAAAGUUUACAAAGCACUGCAAGCUUCGAGUCAUCUUUUAAGGAUGUACGACACUUUUAGAUGUGGCCAUAAAACAUGAAGAAUUCGUGUGUUGAUUCUUCUGCCUCUUUUCCUCCCACCUCUCGACUUGUUGGUUUUAUCCUUGCUUUUAGAUUGUCCUGCUUUGCAACGUUGGUUUCACUCUGUGACGGUAAUGCCUGUGCCACUGGGUAUGGGCCGUCUUUCCACGACCCCGUGCUCCCGGUGAACACAGUGGCUGCCGCUACUCUAUUCCUGAAGUUGGAUUCCACUCUGGAUCGCUUUGCCGGCUGGAAUCUGUGUUUUCACGGAGGGCUCUUGUGUGCCGACGUUCCUUCCUGCUGGAGGGUGAGCACCUCUGCCUGCGUCCCGGGUGCUGCCUUAACUGGGUGCGGCUUCUGUGGCCCUACAGCUGUUCCCUCCACACCCAGCCGUGGUUUUCCUGUGUCUUUUGGCUCCACAGACGGAUGGGAAUGACUGAGGCCAGGGUGGCUGAUUGUUUUCUUGUAAAUGAUUUACUUUUUGUUGCCUAAAGAGUCUUCUUUACCCUCAGUGCUCAGGGUCGGAUGUUUUCUUUCAACGUUUUCUGGAAAAUAACACCCUCUUCAGAUCUGCCAGUCCAGUGCGUUUGUUAUUGUUGUUGUUGUUUUAGAGAAAUUUGUCUUUGGAUACACCAUGUCUUCCACUUGCUGGGCUCUUGACUUCAGGGAAACCCUUUUUCCUUAUGUUGAUUUUCUGCACGUCUUUCAUGUUGAUUAGCUUCUCUCUCGACGUCUCUUUCAUCUACAUUUACUCUGCUGAUUUCAAGAUUUUCUCCUAGGGCGAUAUUUGAUUUUCAGUGACAGAUAAUACAAAAUAGAAAUGAUAAUAGAAUUUGAAAAAUAUAACUUGGUAAAUGCUGGUGACAUUAUGGCUCCAGGCAAGGAUUAUCAGCUGACAUUAAAGCAAUUCUGGGAAUGGCAGACGAGGAGCCACGUCCACAGGGCGCCAGUGCAGCCCGGUGAAGAUGACCUUCCGGACGUGGGCGUGGAGAGGCGGUGGAAGUGGAGGAGGCAGGGUGUGCUCGCUCCCUUCCCGGGCUGACCUCGCUGUGGCUCACACUGGUGUGGCCAGACGUCAUUGUUGUGAGGAACUCGACAGACACAGCGUGGCCUGUGGAGAGCGGACACGCCAGACUUCUCGUGAUUUCAGAAAGCCUAGAGUAACCUGCAGCGUCCAGAUAACAGCAGAGGUGGAGCUAAGAACACCGGGCAGAGCAACGCGACCGUCCAGCCAUCGAGGCGCCUGCAGAACCAGCAUCCUGUGUCCCCUCAGCAGGCCGGACUCUGCUUGGUGGCACGACAGCCCAGGGCCACGGGUGGCUCUCGAUGGGCUCUGCUUUCAACAGACCUGCUGCCCGGGACAAUUUUUAGGUCAGUUCAGGCCUGAGUAUUCACUGAAUCAAAACAGUGUGAGAUGGAGGGAAGGGGACCACGCACCGAUCUAAGCAGGUAGCAGUGAGGAGCGUGUGCCUCUGUGAGUGUUCACACAAGGAAGGGGCUGAAGGGUCUGCACUGUGGAAACGUGGAAUUUUUAUUUUUAUUUUUUUGUCGGAGUCUUACUCUGUCUCCCAGGCUGGAGUGCAGUGGCGUAAUCUCGGCUCACUGCAACCUCCACCUCCCAGGUUCAAGUGAUUCUCCUGCCUGAGC